rnacentral:rRNA from 1 species
UACUGGCCAGAGACCGAUAGCGCACAAGUAGAGUGAUCGAAAGAUGAAAAGCACUUUGGAAAGAGAGUCAAACAGCACGUGAAAUUGUUGAAAGGGAAGCGCUUGCAGCCAGACUUGCCCGCGGUCGUUCUUCUUCCGCGGGCAGGCCAGCAUCAGUCUGGGCGGUCGGAUAAAGGCCUCGGGAAUGUAGCUCUCUUCGGGGAGUGUUAUAGCCCGGGGCGCCAUGCGGCCAGCUCGGACUGAGGUCCGCGCAUCUGCUAGGAUGCUGGCGUAAUGGCUGUAAGCGGCCCGUCUUGAAACACGGACCAAGGAGUCUAACAUCUAUGCGAGUGUUUGGGUGUCAAGCCCGGGCGCGCAAUGAAAGUGAACGGAGGUGGGAACCCCUCGGGGCGCACCAUCGACCGAUCCUGAUGUCUUCGGAUGGAUUUGAGUAAGAGCAUAGCUGUUGGGACCCGAAAGAUGGUGAACUAUGCCUGAAUAGGGUGAAGCCAGAGGAAACUCUGGUGGAGGCUCGCAGCGGUUCUGACGUGCAAAUCGAUCGUCAAAUUUGGGCAUAGGGGCGAAAGAC